AUGUCCGGAUGAGGGCAUUUUCUGAAGCAGUCUUUGAAUCUUUCCCAUACUUCUAAAUAGCUCUUGAAGUCCUUUUACUAAAAAUGUAUGGAGUUUAUUUUAGAUCUC
rnacentral:snoRNA from 1 species